GUGGGGAAUAUUGGACAAUGGGCGAAAGCCUGAUCCAGCAAUGCCGCGUGAGUGAAGAAGGCCUUAGGGUUGUAAAGCUCUUUUACCCGGGAUGAUAAUGACAGUACCGGGAGAAUAAGCUCCGGCUAACUCCGUGCCAGCAGCCGCGGUAAUACGGAGGGAGCUAGCGUUGUUCGGAAUCACUGGGCGUAAAGCGCACGUAGGCGGCUUUGUAAGUUAGAGGUGAAAGCCCGGGGCUCAACUCCGGAACUGCCUUUAAGACUGCAUCGCUUGAAUCUGGGAGAGGUAAGUGGAAUUCCGAGUGUAGAGGUGAAAUUCGUAGAUAUUCGGAAGAACACCAGUGGCGAAGGCGGCUUACUGGACCAGAAUUGACGCUGAGGUGCGAAAGCGUGGGGAGCAAACAGGAUUAGAUACCCCAGUAGUCC
rnacentral:rRNA from 1 species